rnacentral:rRNA from 1 species
UACGUAGGUCCCGAGCGUUGUCCGGAUUUAUUGGGCGUAAAGCGAGCGCAGGCGGUUUGAUAAGUCAGAAGUAAAAGGCUGUGGCUCAACCAUAGUACGCUUUUGAAACUGUCAAACUUGAGUGCAGAAGGGGGGAGUGGAAUUCCAUGUGUAGCGGUGAAAUGCGUAGAUAUAUGGAGGAACACCGGUGGCGAAAGCGGCUCACUGGUCUGUAACUGACGCUGAGGCUCGAAAGCGUGGGGAGCGAACAGG